GGGGGGGGGGGGGGGGGGGGCGGGGGGGCGGGGGGCGGGGGGAGGGGGGGGAGGCUGGCGGCGCGGGUGUUAGCGGGGGACGGGGGUGGAACGCUGGGGUCACCUCCCUAUGCGAGCGGGGGAGCGUCGGGAAGCGGGAGGUAAUACCGGAUAAUAUUUGGACGCCCAGGGGUCGAGAGUGAAAGACGGUCUUGGUGGCACGUAUGGGAGGAUCCGCUGCGCCGUAGCCCGUUGGUAAGGCAACCGCUUACCAAGGCAACGAUGCAUAGCCGACCUGGGAGGGGGAUCGGCCACCCGGGAACUGGGCCACGGUCCAGACUCCUACGGGAGGCCGCAGUAGGGAAUCUGCCGCAAUGGGCGAAAGCCUGACGGAGCAACGCCGCGUGAGUGAUGAAGGUCUUCGGAUCGUAAAACUCUGUUAUUAGGGAAGAACAUAUGUGUAAGUAACUGUGCACAUCUUGCCGGUACCUAAUCAGAAAGCCACGGCUAACUACGUG
rnacentral:rRNA from 1 species